UAAUACGGAUGGUGCGAGCGUUAAUCGGAAUUACUGGGCGUAAAGCGCGCGUAGGCUGUUUUAUAAGUCGGAUGUGAAAUCCCCGGGCUCAACCUGGGAACUGCAUCCGAAACUAUUUAACUAGAGUAUGGGAGAGGUAAGUAGAAUUUCCGGUGUAGCGGUGAAAUGCGUAGAUAUCGGAAGGAAUACCAGUGGCGAAGGCGGCUUACUGGACCAAUACUGACGCUGAGGUGCGAAAGCGUGGGGAGCGAACAGGAUUAGAUACCCUGGUAGUCCACGCCGUAAACGAUGAGAACUAGACGUUGGGAGGGUGAGCCUUUCAGUGUCGCAGCUAACGCAUUAAGUUCUCCGCCUGGGGAGUACGACCGCAAGGUUG
rnacentral:rRNA from 1 species